GACGAACGCUGGCGGCGUGCUUAACACAUGCAAGUCGAACGGAAAGGCCCUGCUUUUGUGGGGUGCUCGAGUGGCGAACGGGUGAGUAACACGUGAGUAACCUGCCCUUGACUUUGGGAUAACUUCAGGAAACUGGGGCUAAUACCGGAUAGGAGCUCCUGCUGCAUGGUGGGGGUUGGAAAGUUUCGGCGGUUGGGGAUGGACUCGCGGCUUAUCAGCUUGUUGGUGGGGUAGUGGCUUACCAAGGCUUUGACGGGUAGCCGGCCUGAGAGGGUGACCGGCCACAUUGGGACUGAGAUACGGCCCAGACUCCUACGGGAGGAAGCAGUGGGGAAUAUUGCACAAUGGGCGGAAGCCUGAUGCAGCAACGCCGCGGGCGGGAUGACGGCCUUCGGGUUGUAAACCGCUUUCGCCUGUGACGAAGCGUGAGUGACGGUAAUGGGUAAAGAAGCACCGGCUAACUACGUG
rnacentral:rRNA from 1 species